rnacentral:rRNA from 1 species
GUGUACCUACGGGACGCAGCAGUGGGGAAUAUUGGGCAAUGGGCGCAAGCCUGACCCAGCAACGCCGCGUGAAGGAAGAAGGCUUUCGGGUUGUAAACUUCUCUUAAGAGGGAAGAGUAGAAGACGGUACCUCUUGAAUAAGCCACGGCUAACUACGUGCCAGCAGCCGCGGUAAUACGUAGGUGGCAAGCGUUGUCCGGAUUUACUGGGUGUAAAGGGCGUGUAGCCGGGCCGGCAAGUCAGAUGUGAAAUCCCAAGGCUCAACCUUGGAACUGCAUUUGAAACUGUUGGUCUUGAGUAUGGGG